CAUGUUGCAUGUGUCUACUAAUAUGGAAAGUUGUCCUCAUUUUAAAAAUUCUGGGAAAACCCAAUCCUUCGUCAUAUUAUUCGGAACACGAACUUGUCACAGUAUAUUCGAGCCACUAAUUUACCUUACGCUAUGCACCCACCAGGUGGCACUACUAUACCAACUAUUCGGGUUUCAGGGGGUAAAGAGCAGACGAAAAGAUUUUGUUUAUGUAUGUUGAUGGAACGUGCCAACGUGGCAGACGGAGUCUGGGUCUGAGACUACGAGGAAAUUAAAUUUGAGGCAUAUCCAACGGGAAAUCAACGAAUAUUUGUGAUAAUAACGUGUGAUAAGUAUUCUAGCUCUAAGCCCCUUUGUACAAAAAUCGGAAUAUCACCACGUCCACGUUGUUCGAACUCAAAUUAAAAAAAAACAUGAUCUUGACGUUGCCGUAACCCCGUAAGUAAACAAGUAAACUAGCAGUCGAAGAAUAAUCAUUCGUAUUACCAUUAGGUGUCACUGAUUUGUUUUUAAUUUUCCUGCAUAGAACUGAGUGAGUGUGUGUUGCUCCCUCACGGAUAAAUAUCGAUAACAGCUACAACCUAAUAUUUUUCAAAUAUGUUUACAUGAUAAUUGACGGUUAAUAAGUUAAGGAACAGAGCUCGUUGUUCAUAGCUAUGAAAACCCGAUUCAUUUCCCCAACAGAUUGAUUCAGUCUUUACUUCCGGUUUACAAAAAGUUAGUAAUUAUUGAUCAGACGUCGACAAGGAUCUCAUUUUCGUGAUCCUCGUUAAAUUUCCGUUGGGUUUCAUUUGUCCAUAGAAAAUAUUAAAAAAUCGGAGUCGACCAACGACAACGAGGAAAAAAAAAAGAGGAAAAGUCGUUGACAAAACCUAGACGACGCCCAGGUCAAUUAUUACUUCUAGUUGUCGGUGGAGUACUGGAGUUGGCUGCAAUGCAAUUUGCUGUCGCUAGGUGGCUAAAAUAGGUGUCCGUCCGGACACUCCGGAGUGUCAUCAGGGACCAAAUUUGGCCAUUAUGUUACUUGACGCAGCCGAAAUGGGAUGCCGAUCGUGACGUUUCCCAAAAUGAAAAGGUGAUUGCUCAUACCACUUUGCCAUCGGAAUUGAAAAUGCCUGUACAUUUGCCGAAAUGUCGUGCCUCGUGCCUCCUGUACCCAGUCGUACGUCUCGUCUCAUGCAACAGCAAAACUCUUACAACCACGCUUCUUGCUGCAGCCAGAUGGUGAAAGGUGUGAUGAAGACAACUUCAACCAUUGUUUGCAGGAUGUGGUGCCAGUGUUAUCCAGAAGUAGCUGUGCUGGAGUUAUCCUGAAGCAGCUGUGCCAGAAUUUUUCCGAAUUGCUGACUUGAAAAUUUUAACUGUUUCUGCUUCUGCUUAUGCGGUAUCCCGUGUUGCUGACUUUAAAUAUUUUUAUCCGCUUUUAUUUGUGGUUUUGCUCUGCCAGUGAGUUGCUUACUUGAAUUGGUUUCAUCUGUCGUCUUUUGCGUUUUUACUUGUGCAGUAUGAUUGUGGCAAUCUGACCCUAUGUUAGAUUUGACAUAGUCGACAACUGCUAGAUUAAACUCCGGCUUU